rnacentral:rRNA from 1 species
GAUGAACGCUGGCGGCGUGCCUAAUACAUGCAAGUCGAGCGAACAGACGAGGAGCUUGCUCCUCUGACGUUAGCGGCGGACGGGUGAGUAACACGUGGAUAACCUACCUAUAAGACUGGGAUAACUUCGGGAAACCGGAGCUAAUACCGGAUAAUAUAUUGAACCGCAUGGUUCAAUAGUGAAAGACGGUUUUGCUGUCACUUAUAGAUGGAUCCGCGCCGCAUUAGCUAGUUGGUAAGGUAACGGCUUACCAAGGCAACGAUGCGUAGCCGACCUGAGAGGGGGAUCGGCCACACUGGAACUGAGACACGGUCCAGACACCUACGGGAGGCAGCAGUAGGGAAUCUUCCGCAAUGGGCGAAAGCCUGACGGAGCAACGCCGCGUGAGUGAUGAAGGUCUUCGGAUCGUAAAACUCUGUUAUUAGGGAAGAACAAAUGUGUAAGUAACUAUGCACGUCUUGACGGUACCUAAUCAGAAAGCCACGGCUAACUACGUG